GAUGAACGCUGGCGGCGUGCCUAAUACAUGCAAGUCGAGCGAACAGACGAGGAGCUUGCUCCUCUGACGUUAGCGGCGGACGGGUGAGUAACACGUGGAUAACCUACCUAUAAGACUGGGAUAACUUCGGGAAACCGGAGCUAAUACCGGAUAACAUGUUGAACCGCAUGGUUCAACAGUGAAAGACGGUCUUGCUGUCACUUAUAGAUGGAUCCGCGCCGCAUUAGCUAGUUGGUAAGGUAACGGCUUACCAAGGCAACGAUGCGUAGCCGACCUGAGAGGGUGAUCGGCCACACGGGACCUGAGACACGGUCCAGACUCCUACGGGAGGCAGCAGUAGGGAAUCUUCCGCAAUGGGCGAAAGCCUGACGGAGCAACGCCGCGUGAGUGAAGAAGGUCUUCGGUUCGUAAAACUCUGUUAUUAGGGAAGAACAAAUGUGUAAGUAACUAUGCACGUCUUGACGGUACCUAAUCAGAAAGCCACGGCUAACUACGU
rnacentral:rRNA from 1 species